AGAUAUGAGUGUGAUCUGGCUGUGACAUCUGGUACCCGGUUGAUUGCCAGGGUUGAUUCGGCUGGUCCGGGUGGCUAGGUGGGUGUCCCCUUCCUCCCUCACAGCUCCAUGUGUGUCCCUCCAGAAUCUACACUCAGUCGAAGAGGACGACUGCCCAGGAAAGAGGAGUACCAUAGGUGUAGCUUUGCUUCCCUGCUAGAACCUCCUAACAAGCUCUCAAACCUAGUUAAUACAUUAACAAAUGAAUUCUGGCAGCACAUUACAUCAUUACCAAGCUUAUGGAUUUUAUCAAGAUGUAAGUAUAUGAUUCUGAAA
rfam:Heterocephalus glaber contig162169, whole genome shotgun sequence.